CAGUCAUGACCACGUACAUAUUGGGGACAAGCUCUUGACGACUCCACCGUUUGACGAUGAUCUAGCUAUUGGGCGUUCAGGACCUGAGUGUACUGCAGGAAAAGACCAUGGAGAUGGACAAGGAAAAGAUGUAUCAUACAGUUUAUCAAGGAAGGUCUAGGAACAUGCUGUGAGUUGAGAUCAGCAUGGCCUGCAACCACAACAAGACAAGACCCCUACCAUGCAUAUAUAUUUUCCUUUCAAGUAGCAACAACUUGACUAUGUUGUCUAUGACAUAACAAGGACGAGAUAUGACAACCUUCUGCAUGUGUCAACAGUAAGCUCUCUUAUGUUUUGUUGUAAAAAUUAGUUAACCUCCAAAAUUAUUAUGUUUUAUUUAAUUUCUCACAUCAAGUGUGCUUGAGUGAAAUCAGAUGGUGGCUCUUUGGAAGGAACGGUCAAGAGUAAACGGAAGAAACUUCUGUUUUCUCAUACUUUAUUUCAUUUCUUUUUCUCAGAUUCUACUCCAAAAUAGUUUUUGGUUUGGAGCAUUUUCACUGGUUCUUUCCAAGUUUCGUUCUUCUCUUCAUUGUCUAUCGCUUCUCUAUCAGAAUAUUAUACUUAGUAUACUCUUGGUUUCCUAAGUUAUAUGAUUUAUUUGUUGCUAGGAUUAUUCUGACAUGUGUAAGCCUUGAUUUUGAUGAACAAGAGCCUGUUUUUUGGCA